CCCGUAACCAUUUGCCAAUUUGUAUAUCGAGAAUUAGAAUGUUGCAGAGCGGAAUCAACUGAAUUAUCUUAAGAAAUCAAAGUUAUAUUCCGCUUUUCUUUCCUCGUUUUGUCUGUACCGUUCUUGUUCUUGUGCAAUCUUCUUCAACAGACAACGUAUGACUUUGUUUGUAGGUUUAAUAUCUCUUUUUCUCUCUUCUAUUUUCGUACUAUUCAUUGUUGGUCUUUAUUGAACGUAUUUACAAAUAUCUACGUCAACAAGCAGUGUCUCAAGUCAACUAAAACAUGCACAUUCUAAGACCAAGUUCUUAGACUUGACCCGCUUCGAAUUUCCGUCAGAAAUAUGCGAGAGAUCUUAUAAUAUAUGCAAACAACUCCCGCCAGAGUGAAACUUCUUG